GGGGGUAUAGCUCCGUGGUACACGCAUGCUUAGCAGGCACAAGGUCCUGGGUUCAAUCCCCAGUACCUCCA
rnacentral:tRNA from 1 species